GGGAUUUUCGCACAGCUCAGCUUUCACUUUACCUCAGCUUGUCAGCUGAGCUGUGAUUGGCUGCUGUGGGAAAAUCCCUCAAUUUUUUCUCUCACACAGCUUAAUAAAUUUGGGCCUAUGGAUCUAUUGUGAGCCAAGAAAGCAAUCACAGCAAACGGAUGACAGGACCGCGCAGACAGGAAAUAUCCAUCCACUGUACAGAUGAAUGGUAAAUGUUAGAGAAAUCGGGUCCAAUGGCAAGGAGCACCAGUGAUCACCAUAUCUUCAUCUCUUCUCUUGAGGUCUCCUAUUAAUCACAAUGCUGCAACAUUGUGAGGGCGGAAGUUGUCCCCCAGCGGGCUUCAGUGAUGUCAUGCCUGCUGUGAAAGCCCACUUUUUCCUGCUAGGAAAUUGCACUAUGUGAGCAAG